GACGAACGCUGGCGGCGUGCUUAACACAUGCAAGUCGAACGAGUGGCGGACGGGUGAGUAAUGUCUGGGAAACUGCCUGAUGGAGGGGGAUAACUACUGGAAACGGUAGCUAAUACCGCAUACCAUCGGAUGUGCCCAGAUGGGAUUAGCUAGUAGGUGGGGUAAAGCCUCACCUAGGCGACGAUCCCUAGCUGGUCUUAGAGGAUGACCGGCAACACUGGAACUGAGACACGGUACAAACUCCAACGAGAGGCAGGAGUGGGGAAUAUUGCACAAUGGGCGCAAGCCUGAUGCAGACAUGCAGCGUGUAUGAAGAAGGCGUUCGGGGUGUAAAGUACUUUCAGCGGGGAGGCGUUACCCGCAGAAGAAGCACCGGCUAACUCCGUGCCAGCAGCCGCGGUAAUUC
rnacentral:rRNA from 1 species